AAUCAACGCUGGCGGCGUGCCUCAGACAUGCAAGUCGAACGAUUAAAGCUCUCUUCGGAGAGUGUAUAGAGUGGCGCACGGGUGAGUAACACGUAAGUAAUCUACCUUUGAGUGGGGAAUAACAGUCGGAAACGACUGCUAAUACCGCAUAAUGCAGCGGCAUCGCAAGAUGACAGUUGUUAAAGGAGCAAUCCGCUUAAAGAGGAGCUUGCGGCAGAUUAGCUAGUUGGUAAGGUAAUGGCUUACCAAGGCUACGAUCUGUAUCCGGUCUAAGAGGACGGUCGGACACACUGACACUGAAUAACGGGUCAGACUCCUACGGAGGCAGCAGUCGGAAUUUU
rnacentral:rRNA from 1 species